GAUGAACGCUAGCGACAGGCCUAACACAUGCAAGUCGAGGGGCAGCACGGGAGUAGCAAUACAACUGGUGGCGACCGGCGCACGGGUGAGUAACACGUAUGCAACCUACCUGUAAGCGGGGAAUAACCCGGAGAAAUUCGGACUAAUACCGCAUAAAACUGAGUUACUGCAUGGUAAUUCAUUUAAACAUUUAUGGCUUACAGAUGGGCAUGCGUAUGAUUAGCUAGUUGGUGAGGUAACGGCUCACCAAGGCAACGAUCAUUAGGGGUUCUGAGAGGAAGGUCCCCCACACUGGUACUGAGACACGGACCAGACUCCUACGGGAGGCAGCAGUGAGGAAUAUUGGUCAAUGGGCGAGAGCCUGAACCAGCCAAGUCGCGUGAAGGAAGAAGGUUCUAUGGAUUGUAAACUUCUUUUGUAAGGGAUAAAAGGUUACGUGUAACUUAUUGUAUGUACUUUACGAAUAAGGAUCGGCUAACUCCGUGCCAGCAGCCGCGGUAAUCU
rnacentral:rRNA from 1 species